CUACGGGAUGCACCAGUGGGGAAUACUGCACAAUGGGCGCAAGCCUGAUGCAGCCAUGCCGCGUGUAUGAAGAAGGCCUUCGGGUUGUAAAGUACUUUCAGCGGGGAGGAAGGGAGUAAAGUUAAUACCUUUGCUCAUUGACGUUACCCGCAGAAGAAGCACCGGCUAACUCCGUGCCAGCAGCCGCGGUAAUACGGAGGGUGCAAGCGUUAAUCGGAAUUACUGGGCGUAAAGCGCACGCAGGCGGUUUGUUAAGUCAGAUGUGAAAUCCCCAGGCUCAACCUGGGAACUGCAUCUGAUACUGGCAAGCUUGAGUCUCGUAGAGGGGGGUAGAAUUCCAGGUGUAGCGGUGAAAUGCGUAGAGAUCUGGAGGAAUACCGGUGGCGAAGGCGGCCCCCUGGACGAAGACUGACGCUCAGGUGCGAAAGCGUGGGGAGCAAACAGGAUUAGAUACCCGAGUAGUC
rnacentral:rRNA from 1 species